CUUAUCUUAUCUCACUUUCUCCCCCAAAACUAUCUAAAAUAUCAAAACAGCCCUCAACUAAAUAUUUUAUAUUAUUUUCAAAUCUUUAUUCUAUUUAACAAUAAAAUAAAUCUCAUAACCUUAUCACGUCAUCAAUCAAAUCACUAAAAUCAUCGUAAAUCAUCAAAACAUAUCAAAAUCAUGCUCAUACUAUAUAAUU
rnacentral:lncRNA from 1 species